ACCCUCUCAGGAUCACAACUGGAGAGUUUCCAGUACUCUACCAGUCUUGGCUAUGGGAGGGAGAGUCAAGCAGAGGUAUAGCCAUUCUAUUCCUAGCUUGAAUAGUGGCUAGAGAGUGGAAGACAAUGAGCUACAAGU